GGGGAUAAAGCUCAGUUGGUAGAGUACUUGUCUCACAAGCACAAGGCUCUGGGUUCAAUCCCCAGCACCA
rfam:Ictidomys tridecemlineatus contig029425, whole genome shotgun sequence.